AAACCUCUCCGCCGCGCGAGCGCUCCCCUCUUUUGCGGAGGGGCGGCGAUCGGCGGUGGGGGUGGUGGCGGACGCAGACGCCCCUAAAAGCGUGUGCGCCGCUCAAAACCUCGGUCCGCGAGCCCGCAGGGCGAACCCGGCGUAGUGACUACAAUUCUCGCCGGCGAUUCAAGGCCCCCAGAAAGCGGCCCGGGACCUUUAAGCGCUCCGGCGCCGAACCCCACUGC
rnacentral:misc_RNA from 1 species